rnacentral:rRNA from 1 species
AACGAACGCUGGCGGCAUGCCUAACACAUGCAAGUCGAACGAGAUCUUCGGAUCUAGUGGCGCACGGGUGCGUAACGCGUGGGAAUCUGCCCUUGAGUUCGGAAUAACAGUGAGAAAUUACUGCUAAUACCGGAUGAUGUCUUCGGACCAAAGAUUUAUUGCCCAAGGAUGAGCCCGCGUAGGAUUAGCUAGUUGGUGGGGUAAUGGCCUACCAAGGCGACGAUCCUUAGCUGGUCUGAGAGGAUGAUCAGCCACACUGGGACUGAGACACGGCCCAGACUCCUACGGGAGGCAGCAGUGGGGAAUAUUGGACAAUGGGCGAAAGCCUGAUCCAGCAAUGCCACGUGAGUGAUGAAGGCCUUAGGGUUGUAAAGCUCUUUUACCAGGGAUGAUAAUGACAGUACCUGGAGAAUAAGCUCCGGCUAACUCCGUGCCAGCAGCCGCCGUAAGAC